rnacentral:piRNA from 1 species
UUCCAGAAUGUUCCAGAAAGCGUAGGAUGC